rnacentral:rRNA from 1 species
AGUGAACGCUGGCGGUAGGCCUAACACAUGCAAGUCGAACGACAGCACAGGAGAGCUUGCUCUCUGGGUGGCGAGUGGCGGACGGGUGAGGAAUACAUCGGAAUCUACUCUGUCGUGGGGGAUAACGUAGGGAAACAUACGCUAAUACCGCAUACGACCUACGGGUGAAAGCAGGGGACCUUCGGGCCUUGCUCGAUGGAAUGAGCCGAUGUCGGAUUAGCUAGUUGGCGGGGUAAAGGCCCACCAAGGCGACGAUCCGUAGCUGGUCUGAGAGGAUGAUCAGCCACACUGGAACUGAGACACGGUCCAGACUCCUACGGGAGGCAGCAGUGGGGAAUAUUGGACAAUGGGCGCAAGCCUGAUCCAGCCAUACCGCGUGGGUGAAGAAGGCCUUCGGGUUGUAAAGCCCUUUUGUUGGGAAAGAAAUCCAGCUGGCUAAUACCCGGUUGGGAUGACGGUACCCAAAGAAUAAGCACCGGCUAACUUCGUGCCAGCCGCCGCGGUAA